UUGAACGCUGGCGGCAUGCCUUACACAUGCAAGUCGAACGGCAGCACGGGGGCAACCCUGGUGGCGAGUGGCGAACGGGUGAGUAAUACAUCGGAACGUGCCCUGAAGUGGGGGAUAACUACGCGAAAGCGUGGCUAAUACCGCAUACGCCCUGAGGGGGAAAGCGGGGGACCUUCGGGCCUCGCGCGAUUGGAGCGGCUGAUGUCGGAUUAGCUGGUUGGUGGGGUAAAGGCCUACCAAGGCGACGAUCCGUAGCUGGUCUGAGAGGAUGAUCAGCCACACUGGGACUGAGACACGGCCCAGACUCCUACGGGAGGCAGCAGUGGGGAAUUUUGGACAAUGGGCGCAAGCCUGAUCCAGCCAUGCCGCGUGAGUGAAGAAGGCCUUCGGGUUGUAAAGCUCUUUCAGACGGAAAGAAAUCGGGCGGGUGAAUAGCCUGCCUGGAUGACGGUACUGUCAGAAGAAGCACCGGCUAACUACGU
rnacentral:rRNA from 1 species